AAUCCAUGAUGUGGGUAGUCUGUUAGCAUUCCUUUAAAUCUGUCCCAAGCUUCAUAGAGGGAUUCAAAGUCUGUCUGCUUGAAACUCAGAAUAAGAUUUCAGAGGUG